ACCCUCAGAACCUUUCUCAUGGAAUCUGAACACUGAUCUUUGUGGCUGUAAAAGGAGGAAAAGUAAUACCAAAGCUAGCUUCACAGUGUAGUAGUCUGGUAUAUGGCAUGUGGGCUAGUUUCAAACAGUU